rnacentral:misc_RNA from 1 species
UCCGGUUUGUCACCGGCAGUCUCCUUAGAGUUCCCGACUUUACUCGCUGGCAACUAAGGACAAGGGUUGCGCUCGUUGCGGGACUUAACCCAACAUCUCACGACACGAGCUGACGACAGUCAUGCACCACCUGUGAUCCUGCCCACAAGGGGAAACCGUGUUUCCACGGCGGUCAGGAACAUGUCAAACCCAGGUAAGGUUCUUCGCGUUGCGUCGAAUUAAACCACAUGCUCCGCUGCUUGUGCGGGUCUCCGUCAAUUCCUUUGAGUUUUAGCCUUGCGGCCGUACUCCCCAGGCGGGGCACUUAAUGCGUUAGCUCCGGCACGGAGGGAGUCGACACCCCCCACACCUAGUGCCCAUCGUUUACAGCGUGGACUAC